ACUCAAAGGAAUAGACGGGGGCCCGCACAAGCGGUGGAGCAUGUGGUUUAAUACGUCACUAACCGUAGAACCUUACCCAGGCUUGACAUCCUGUGUAAGUCCAUGAAAGUGGUACCCCUGCAUAGCAAUAUGCAGCACAGAGACAGGUGUUGCAUGGCUGUCGUCAGCUCGUGUCGUGAGAUGUUGGGUUAAGUCCCGCAACGAGCGCAACCCUCAUCCGAUGUUGCCAGCGUAAAGUCGGGAACUCUUCGGAAACUGCCCGUGUAAGCGGGAGGAAGGUGGGGAUGACGUCAAGUCAGCAUGGCCCUUACGCCUGGGGCUACACACAUGCUACAAUGGACGUGAACAAAGGGCAGCAAUACCGCGAGGUGGAGCUAAUCUCAAAAAUACGUCCUCAGUUCGGAUUGCAGUCUGCAACUCGACUGCAUGAAGUCGGAAUCGCUAGUAACCGCAGGUCAGCUAAACUGCGGUGAAUACGUUCCCGGGCCUUGUACACACCGCCCGU
rnacentral:rRNA from 1 species